GAAGAGAGUUCUUGUUCUUGU
rnacentral:snRNA from 1 species